rnacentral:rRNA from 1 species
GUAGGGAAUAUUGCGCAAUGGACGAAAGUCUGACGCAGCAACGCCGCGUGGGUGAUGAAGCAUUUCGGUGUGUAAAACCCUGUCAGUGGGGAAGAAAAGUAUGGGGAGUAACUGCCCUGUACCUGACGGUACCCGCAGAGGAAGUCCCGGCUAACUCCGUGCCAGCAGCCGCGGUAAUACGGGGGGGACAAGCGUUGUUCGGAUUUACUGGGCGUAAAGGGCGCGUAGGCGGACCUUCAAGUCGGAUGUGAAACCUGGCGGCUUAACCACCAGCCUGCAUUCGAUACUGUUGGCCUUGAGUAUGGGAGAGGAGAAUGGAAUUUCAGGUGUAGCGGUGAAAUGCGUAGAUAUCUGAAAGAACACCAGUAGCGAAGGCGGUUCUCUGGACCAAUACUGACGCUAAAGCGCGAAGGCUUGGGGAGCAAACAGGAUUAGAUACCCUGGUAGUCC